GAUGAAGAACGCAGCGAAAUGCGAUAAGUAGUGUGAAUUGCAGAAUUCAGUGAAUCAUCGAAUCUUUGAACGCACAUUGCGCCCCUUGGUAUCCCGAGGGGCAUGCCUGUUCGAGCGUCAUUUCACCACUCAAGCCUGGCUUGGUGUUGGGCGACGUCCCCUUUGGGGACGCGCCUCGAAACGCUCGGCGGCGUGGCACCGGCUUUAAGCGUAGCAGAAUCUUCCGCUUUGGAAGUCGGGGCCCCGUCUGCCGGAAGACCUACUCGCAAGGUUGACCUCGGAUCAGGCAGGGAUACCCGCUGAACUUAAGCAUAUCAAUAAGCGGAGGA
rnacentral:misc_RNA from 1 species